UUACGGGAGGCAGCAGUGGGGAAUUUUGGACAAUGGGCGCAAGCCUGAUCCAGCCAUUCCGCGUGAGUGAAGAAGGCCUUCGGGUUGUAAAGCUCUUUCGGCAGGAACGAAACGGUCCUGGUUAAUACCUGGGGCUAAUGACGGUACCUGAAGAAGAAGCACCGGCUAACUACGUGCCAGCAGCCGCGGUAAUACGUAGGGUGCGAGCGUUAAUCGGAAUUACUGGGCGUAAAGCGUGCGCAGGCGGUUUUGUAAGACAGAUGUGAAAUCCCCGGGCUCAACCUGGGAACUGCGUUUGUGACUGCAAGACUCGAGUGUGGCAGAGGGGGGUGGAAUUCCACGUGUAGCAGUGAAAUGCGUAGAGAUGUGGAGGAACACCGAUGGCGAAGGCAGCCCCCUGGGUCAACACUGACGCUCAUGCACGAAAGCGUGGGUAGCAAACAGGAUUAGAUACCCUGGUAGG
rnacentral:rRNA from 1 species